ACAGAGUUCAUGCCCUCACGGGUAGAUCUCCCACCCUUGAAUAUUAUACCUUCGUUGCUUUGGCAGGCCGUGGAAACACCAUGGGCUCCGGCUGAUGCGUGCCUGCCAGAGGAAACAAACUCUAUUUUUAGUGAUGUCUGAGUACUAUAUAAUAGUUAAAACUUUCAACAACGGAUCUCUUGGUUCUGGCAUCGAUGAAGAACGCAGCGAAAUGCGAUAAGUAAUGUGAAUUGCAGAAUUCAGUGAAUCAUCGAAUCUUUGAACGCACAUUGCGCCCCUUGGUAUUCCGAGGGGCAUGCCUGUUCGAGCGUCAUUACAACCCUCAAGCCUGGCUUGGUAUUGGGCUUCGCCACUCACCUGGCGGGCCUUAAAAUCAGUGGCGGUGCCGUCGAGGCCCUGAGCGCAGUAAAUAUCCUCGCUAUAGGGACCCGGCGGUUGCUUGCCAACAACCCCAACUAUUAUAAGGUUGACCUCGGAUCAGGUAGGGAUACCCGCUGAACUUAA
rnacentral:rRNA from 1 species